rnacentral:rRNA from 1 species
UACGUAGGGGGCUAGCGUUGUCCGGAAUCAUUGGGCGUAAAGAGCGUGUAGGCGGCCCGAUAAGUCCGCUGUGAAAGUCAAGGGCUCAACCCUUGAAUGCCGGCGGAUACUGUCGGGCUAGAGUCCGGAAGAGGCGAGUGGAAUUCCUGGUGUAGCGGUGGAAUGCGCAGAUAUCAGGAGGAACACCAACGGCGAAGGCAGCUCGCUAGGACGGUACUGACGCUGAGACGCGAAAGCGUGGGGAGCGAACAGG